rnacentral:rasiRNA from 1 species
GCUUUCAACACCGCCAGAUGGCCCGUA